GUAUCCAGGGUCCAGCACUUAGUAAUAACAGUGUUCUCUUUUCUCCCUUAGUGGUCUACAUAGAAUCUUCUGGAACGAGGAAAGCUAGCCAGCAGCGAGAAGAAAGAUGCCAGACCUUUGUGUGAAGAUGCCAGCUGCCUCCUCCUACAGGUGUUAUUUCACCACAAACAGUGGUAAAUACAAGGAGAUGAUGACACUUACUGCUCUGAUCCUCCUUCCAGUUUCUUCUUCUCUGAUGCCCUAUCCUGCCACAUGGACACUCUACAUACAGUCUCCUGAUCUAGAAUUUCCAAACCCUGACCUACCAUGACACCUACCCUGGGUGACACACUUCAACUUUCUAUUUUUGCCCAUGUACCUUUCAUUCCUCCUUUCUCUGCUACCCCUGUCUUCCACCAUCUGCACCAAGUCACCUAUAGUCAAAGACUCCUUGGGUUUCAAUACCAUGUGACUCUAUAUCCAUAGCCCAACAGUCUAGCCACCUCCCCCUACUUCCACUCAAGGUGUGUAUUAAUUACUUGUCUCAUUGCUGCAAUAAAAUACCUCUCAAAUAGCA